rnacentral:lncRNA from 1 species
CCUGGGGGGGGUCUCAGCACACCACCACACACCAAAAGACCCCCAAAUUUUCCUGUCUCACCUGUUUCGCACAAUGUUAAUGGCCAGAAGAAGAACCAGAGCAGCUCCUCCAGCUCUUCUGGAUCUAUACCCAGCGUAACGGUCGCAUUGCCUGCUGUGUGGUCAUACACGUGUGUGCUGGCAAGGGCUGCAGGGAAGUACCUGUCUUGCUCUGCCUCAGCUGUGGAGGAAAAGAGCAGAAAAAUGCAACAGUUACUGCAAUACUUCAGGCUAGAAAUGGACUUCCCCGUGGCUCCCAGGGUUGCCCAGCACGUCUCUCCAAGCAGGCAGAACGCAGCCGUGAGGGCACAGCCUUAUCUCAUGCACCGAGAAAUGGAGAGCGUUUCUGGCUCACACUGCAGAUCCCAUUAUGGUGGGGCACCCAGGGUUGGAAAGACCCCAGGAUGCUGACUGUGCCUUUCUACAUUCCCCAGCAGCGUGUGUGUGUGGCACAUACCUGCUUUCUCCUUGCACACGCUCCUGUCUGCAACAUCUUGCCAUUGGGCCUUGAGGCCUCUCACUUUAUCGAGAGCGACUCCUUUCCUGUUUGCCACCAGGUAGCCCUGGCUACUGCCCACUGGAGAGAGCAGCGAAUUCAAGCAGUCCCAGCUUGUGUAGCCCAAGCUGCCACAGAGACUUGUCUGCACUCUGUUGGCUCCCACCACGGAGAGGCAGCUCUGUGUGCCGUGAUUCAUCAAAGAAUCACCUUGCCAAGACCAGUCCUGGAAAUCUGACUCUGGAUUACAGUCCUCCAGCAAUAAAUUCCCAUUCAUCGGGCUGGCUUGUAAACACAACUUGACUUUAGCAUUUUUCAUCAGAAAAGCUUCAGUGUCUGCAAAGAAACCAGCACGUCAGUGUGGCCACCCCCUAAGCACAGGACAUAUACACACACAGAGUAUAUAGGGCAGAUGGGAAUGACACCCAAUUCUGGAACGGGGAAAUCAGCGUAGGGCAAAAGGCAUUCAAGAGGCAAACUGUCUCCAGGCCAGCUUCUCUCUGCCAGGGCUGCUGGGCUC